UCUACGGGAGGCCGCAGUGAGGAAUAUUGGUCAAUGGUCGGGAGACUGAACCAGCCAAGCCGCGUGAGGGAGGAAGGUCCAGAGUAUCGUAAACCUCUUUUGUCAGGGAACAAAGUCGGGGACGUGUCCCCGGAUGAGUGUACCUGAAGAAAAAGCAUCGGCUAACUCCGUGCCAGCAGCCGCGGUAAUCCGGAGGAUGCGAGCGUUAUCCGGAUUUAUUGGGUUUAACGGGUGAGCCGGGGGUCUGUUAAGUCAGCGGUCAAAGCCCGGGGCGAAACCCCGGCCCGCCGUUGAAACUGGCAGUCUCGAGUUGGAGAGAAGUAUGCGGAAUGCGCGGUGUAGCGGUGAAAUGCAUAGAUAUCGCGCAGAACUCCGAUUGCGAAGGCAGCAUGCCGGCUCCACACUGACGCUGAGGCACGAAAGCGUGGGUAUCGAACAGGAUUAGAUACCCCAGUAGUC
rnacentral:rRNA from 1 species